rnacentral:rRNA from 1 species
GAUGAACGCUGGCGGCGUGCCUAAUACAUGCAAGUCGAGCGAACGGACGAGAAGCUUGCUUCUCUGAUGUUAGCGGCGGACGGGUGAGUAACACGUGGAUAACCUACCUUUAAGACUGGGAUAACUUCGGGAAACCGGAGCUAAUACCGGAUAAUAUUUUGAACCGCAUGGUUCAAAAGUGAAAGACGGUCUUGCUGUCACUUAUAGAUGGAUCCGCGCUGCAUUAGCUAGUUGGUAAGGUAACGGCUUACCAAGGCAACGAUGCAUAGCCGACCUGAGAGGGUGAUCGGCCACACUGGAACUGAGACACGGUCCAGACUCCUACGGGAGGCAGCAGUAGGGAAUCUUCCGCAAUGGGCGAAAGCCUGACGGAGCAACGCCGCGUGAGUGAUGAAGGUCUUCGGAUCGUAAAACUCUGUUAUUAGGGAAGAACAUAUGUGUAAGUAACUGUGCACAUCUUGACGGUACCUAAUCAGAAAGCCACGGCUAACUACGUG